GGCCCAAUAGCUCAGUUGGUAGAGCAGUAGAUUGAAAAUUUACGUGUCCUUGGUUCGAAUCCGAGUUGGGCCACCA
rnacentral:tRNA from 1 species